rnacentral:rRNA from 1 species
UACGUAGGGGGCAAGCGUUGUCCGGAUUUACUGGGCGUAAAGAGCGCGCAGGCGGUCGUACAAGUCGCGUGUGAAAGCCCCCGGCUCAACUGGGGAGGGUCACGCGAUACUGUUCGACUCGAAGGCAGGAGAGGGAAGCAGAAUUCCCGGUGUAGUGGUGAAAUGCGUAGAUAUCGGGAGGAAUACCAGUGGCGAAGGCGGCUUCCUGGCCUGUUCUUGACGCUGAGGCGCGAAAGCUAGGGUAGCAAACGGG